rnacentral:lncRNA from 1 species
UUUGCAAGUGUAUCGAUCUUCUAAAAGUGCAACACUUCUGUAGUUUGGAAGGUUUUAGUACCAGUUAGAUCUUUUCAGUAGUCUCACCUGUAUCGACUAGGAGAAAAAAGAGAACUAAUGUGGAAACCACAGGGGAAGUGGGUUGGACUUGAGACACUUUAACAGUAUUUUCAAUUCAUCCACUUCGUUACUUCAACAUGAGACUUGGAAGCAUGUUGUCUUGGAUUUAUUGGCUCUUCAUAUAUCUCUAUAUUAUUUUUAAGUUGAGGUUUUAUCAAUUUAUUAGUGUUUCCAUACUAUUUGCAGUUCUAUGGCCUUUAGAUAUAGGACUUAUUAUAUAGUAGAAAUUCUGACUUAUACUUUAAAGUGUCUUGUAUAUUGUAACACAUGUUGAGAAGAAAAGCUAAGCAAUUCUUCUGUUAGAUUGCUCCCAGUCCUUAUUUUGGUCUUUCUCUUUUUAAAUUCAAGUGUUUUGUGUGCUUAGAAAAAGGACAUGUAUAAUAGAAAGAUUGGUUAUUUCUGAGCUGGAAAUUGGAAACUUUGAGACUCAGGAAAUUGCUCUGACAAUGUUUUAACUGCUCUCAAUUUAAGAAAAUGACAAAAUGUAUAAAAAAGACACAAAAAUGUGUGCUGUUUAUUCCAAGUGCUUUUUCUAAGUGCUUUUCCAUUGUGCAAUGAGGUGAAGUUUGGUAAUUUUCUGUGUAGUGGUUAUUGCUUAUUUUUAUUUACAUGGUAAAGAAAACAGAUUUAAAUGUUUGUGUGGCCAGAAAAGUGUCAUUUAAAAGAGAUAGAGACUGCAGGACCGAUGGCUGUACUCUUUUCCAUGAAGUUUUUGGAGAUCGAGGAUCCUUUUAUUUUAGCUCACCACUCAUCAUACCCAGCGUGUGGUCCUCGAUUCCUAAACCAGGGUGGGUAGCGAGAGCUUUAAUAAUCACAUCUGCAUUCUGUUCGAGGAAGGACAAAGAAGAAAGGAGCAAUGGGCAAAUGCCAGUGAUCUUUUGUAGAAGAUUUUUGGAAGUUGCCAUACAACACUUCCAUUUACAUCUUACUGGCUGGAACUUAGUCAUGUGGUCACAUCUAGCUGUAAGAGAGGCUGAGAAAUUGUCUUUAUUUCAGUCUAUAUGUUCAGCUAAAAUUAGGGCAUUCUGUUGGAGGAAAGAGAAUGUGUAUUAGGGAAAUUCGUAGCAGUUUCUGCCACAUCAUUUUUGAUCGUUGGAUGCAAAUAAUGUGAAAAUCAGUUCUUGAUGCUUUCCUUCAACAUAUCUUUGUUGAUGAUUACCCUGUGCUAGGGAUAAUAAAAAGGAAAUCACAGUUCUAUGUAUUUUAACU